rnacentral:rRNA from 1 species
GUGUCAGCAGCCGCGGUAAUACGUAGGAGGCAAGCGUUGUCCGGAAUCACUGGGCGUAAAGCGCGUGUAGGCGGAUCGCUAAGUCUGUUGUGAAAGCGCCUGGCUUAACCGGGCGAGGUCGAUGGAAACUAGCGGUCUGGAGGCCGGUAGAGGGGGGUGGAAUUCCGGGUGUAGUGGUGAAAUGCGUAGAGAUCCGGAGGAACACCAGUGGCGAAGGCGGCCCCCUGGGCCGCGCCUGACGCUGAGACGCGAAAGCGCGGGGAGCGAACGGGAUUAGAUACCCUCGUAGUCC